AUUUACUUUCAUUCACAAAACUUUAAACUCAGUAGCAAGAGCUCGCCUGACGCUGACACGGUCUGCCGAAUGUAGCUUUAUACGUAAGUUUGUCAUAUUCGACUCCUACUGGAAAGUUAACGGGGGAAGUUGAUUGGCUAGUUGUCUCGGUGAAGUCUCAUCACCAGGCGGACGAGGUUGAGCGCGAGUGUCUAUUUGGGGGGUGUGACAGCACUCUCCAUACAGCUGUGGCGAGCUUGUUUAUAAGUUAAACAGGUUGCUAUACGGAGCGGUAGGAAAGGAACUACACCGGCAUGUUUUUGAGCCCCAGACACCGACUGACCGCCCGGCUGCCGGAUCGUUUGCUGGUCAGAACCGCUGCCUAAUUUGAACCGAAUGAGCUCCGAGCCGGCGCGAGCGCUUCGAUGCUGUUGACAUUCAUCCAUCAAACAUGGCAACCUUGAGACGUAGUAAGCUUUUGUAUGACAUGAAUGACAAACAGGACAGGCCUUAUAUGUGCGGCGCCCCGGGCUGCUCUCAGCGCUUCCAGUCAGAAGAGCAUCUGCUCAUCCACAGACACAAGCAUGAGAUGUCCCUCAAGUUCUCCUCCAUCAAGACGGAUACGGCUUUUACAGACCAGACUCCAACGCCAACACGAUUUUUGCAGAACUGUGAAGAGGUUGGUCUGUUCAAGGAGAUAGAGGAAGAGUUUCUUCAAGCAGAAGAGGAGGAAAAGAGCAAACAGACGCUUUCUCAUAAUGGGUCGUGCUGUAUGAACCCACAGCAGCUGAAAUCGCAUCUCCAGCACCCUCAUCCCCAGCACCCUCAUCCCCAGCACCCUCAUCCCCAGCCACCGCUGCACCAUCCCCAGACCCAUCCCCUGCAGCACCCUCAGUGUCAUGGUGCCCUGAUGGGCCCCAGCUGCAGCCUGGCUGCCCAGCAAGCUCUGUCCUCGCAGUCCGGUUCAGUCAUCACCCAGGCUUCUUCCACCCUCACACACUCAGGGCCGGUUCCCGGGCCGCUGUCCUCCCUCCUUUAUAUGCGGAACAGACACAGACAACCGCUGCCGGCCUCUUUACCUGGCACCCUGCCAGACCCCGCCAUGCAAGGGGCAUCUUCCCAGCACAUGCCCAUAGAGAAGCAAAUGCCGUGUAUAAUGGGAAUACCAGGUCCUGUACACAACUCCUCCUGUUCCUCGCCUCAGAGAUCCAAACAGACGCUAGGCCAUCAUUUCCAACAGCACCACCCAUCAAUGGUCGCCAUCAACAACUCUGUGACAUCCAUGGGUCACAUGAUGGAGAUGAUGUCACAGCGUCAUCAGGCACCUCCCCUACAACAUCCCCAUCAUCCCCAUCAUCCCCAUCAUCCACAGCUUCCAUCUCAGCCCCUCGCCUUUCAACAGCAAUGCCAUGCUCCACCUCCGCAACAUCUGGGAAGCCCCCACAGCCACCUUGCUCAGGCUCACCAAGCACCCCCUCCCCAUCUGCACCAGGGUUCGCCUCCUGCACGUCCCCUGUCUGUUCCAGCAGAGUUAUCACCAGUUGCACAGCAGAUGCAGCCCUCCCAUCUAUCCCUCUCCCAGCAUGCAGCGCAGGCAAGUGACAGCUGCAGCAGUGGAGGAGGGGGAGGCGGCAACCGCCGCAGGAGGACGGCAGAACAGGACCCUGACGAGCGCAGGCAGAAAUUUCUGGAGCGCAACCGGGCCGCAGCCACCCGUUGCCGACAGAAGAGGAAAGUGUGGGUGUCAUCGCUGGAGAAGAAAGCUGAAGAGUUGACGCAUACAAACCUGCAGCUACAGAACGAGGUCACGUCAUUGAGGUCGGAGGUGGGUCAGCUGAAGCAGAUUCUGCUCACCCACAAAGACUGUCCUGUCACUGCCCGGCAGAGAGAGGCACAGGGGUACCCCAGUGAGUAAAACCCCCAUACCCUGAACCCCCUCUCUAGAAAUCUCACCAGCUUUUCCAGAUGCCUGACACCAAUCAUCUCCAUCCAUCACUGAGGGUUUACUUCAGAUACCUUGUAUGUGCACAUAAGGGAAUACACCAUGGUUCCAUUUUUGUCUUGUAAUGACAAGCAGCCACCCCUCCGCACACACACAGGGACCUUAAACUAUAUCUCACAGAAUGCAGCUAAACAGCACUUAAGAGUAAAAACUCUGCUUUUAACCCGCCAGUCUCCACUUAUUGAUACAUGCACUUUUACUUCUACGGAGAGCCAAUCAAGGGUAAGCACUGCACUCUUAACUCUCCGUUUUAAGGAAUGCAUUCUUCAGUUUCAUUUUCACACUCAUUUAAUGAACCAGAUCUUGACACUUUUUGACUGGAGUGUUUAUUCUGGAGUGCAAUGCAAUAUUCUGGCAAUUUGACUCGCAUGAAGCUAACUUGGAAUAAAAUGCAGACCAUGCCCAUCUUGCACUUGAGGCAGUCUAAAGUUAAUGUUCAACAAUAACUUAACCUGUCAAUGACCUUAACUGAAAGAAAAGAAAUACUGCACCUUGUGGCUUAAUUGAAAGCGGCCAUUAGUUUUAAGUGUUGAGCUUCAG